AUGUCUCGCCACUUAGGAAUAGACAUGCUACAUGUUGUGUGUCGGUCAGUCAUGCAACAUAUACAUACCAUAUUUUGUGUACAAAUGAAGAUGCCACUCGAUCAAUGAUAUGAGAACAGUGUGUCGAGUGCAGAGAAUUCUACAGGAAUAGAAGAAUUUGCAACUUUGGCGCAAAACCCUACAUGAUAUAGAUAGAAACAAACAUUGUGCCAAACUAUAAAUAAUCUGGUAACAAGGCAAACCAAACUCAACAAAAUGAUAUGGGCAUGCUAUAGUCUAUGGAAUAAUGGGAUCAAUGCAAUGGGAUCAUAAUGCAUAUUACAAUGAGAAAAGGAAACUAAACCAAUUAUAAAAGCCUUGUAAAAAAUUCCAUCCAUAUAGCCAUGUAAGCAUUACUUCGGAUAUGUUAGACGUGAUGGCACAUCCCAUCUCCUGCCUAGUUGUAGAUCCUAUCUUGAUUAGUCUCCAAGGCCCUUGUUAUCCUUCUUUGAUAUCAGUGCAAUACACGCGCCACUAAGGCUAUUGUCCUCGGGGAGGCCUGAACCUAUAUAACCCGUGGUGUUGUCCUGAUAGACCACUACAUGAUUCCGUCGCGUUCCUACUUCUUCGACAUAUCGUUGGAUCAACAAUUUACCAAUACUCAGUAGAAUUGAUUAAUUCCAGCUAGCAUAGGAAUGAUUGACAAAAAAUAAUGUAGAAGAUUUAAGCCAAAAACAUCAAUGUUACGUGCAAUCUAUUUUAAUGAUUUACCUUGAACAACCAAUGAGUCUGAUCUUGGGAGAAAAUAUUCAGCAUACUAGAAUAAAUAGGAAUGAGUUUAUUGCCAUGAAUGUAUCCUAAUAAUAAUGUGCUUGGAUAUGGGAGAAAUCAUUUAUCAUGAAAGAACAAAUAUGGAAGACAUUGAUUGCGACCAAUUUUAGUGGCCCUCUAUAUAAACACAAGAAACGACAUCACUAGUUCUAUAACAUUUUACCGGAAGAACUAUACAACAGAAGGAGUGUGUAGCUCUUAUCCAUGGCUUUUGGAAGCAAAAUCACAUGGGUACUAGGCAUAGUGGCUUUGUUGGCCAUCUUAACCACUGCCCAAUCAUAUGAUACAUCAGCUCGUAUAGGGAAUUGUGAUGAUACGCCGAAUUGCUCAGAUGGUAAAUGCAAGGAUACAUGUGCUAGCCAAGGUUACGAGGCAAAAGCGAGUUCUUGCGUAAAACAAUUUGGAAGGACAUUCUGUUGCUGUAGCAAGGAUGGGUCAGAAUAAUGUUCUUACAAGCUCGUAUGUGCAAGCAACGAAGAAGAACAAUAUGUAUCUUCUCAUGAUAUAAUAAAUGCAAUAAUUUACUACUA